rnacentral:rRNA from 1 species
UACGAAGGGGGCUAGCGUUGUUCGGAAUUACUGGGCGUAAAGGGCGCGUAGGCGGCGUGUCAAGUCAGGCGUGAAAGCCCCGGGCUCAACCUGGGAACCGCGCUUGAGACUGGCAUGCUCGAGUUCGGGAGAGGAUGGUGGAAUUCCCAGUGUAGAGGUGAAAUUCGUAGAUAUUGGGAAGAACACCAGUGGCGAAGGCGGCGAUCUGGGAAGAUACUGACGCUGAGGUGCGAAAGCGUGGGGAGCAAACAGG